rnacentral:rRNA from 1 species
GAGAUAUCUGAACCUUCGGGGGACGAUAACGGCGUCGAGCGGCGGACGGGUGAGUAAUGCCUAGGAAAUUGCCCUGAUGUGGGGGAUAACCAUUGGAAACGAUGGCUAAUACCGCAUAAUGCCUACGGGCCAAAGAGGGGGACCUUCGGGCCUCUCGCGUCAGGAUAUGCCUAGGUGGGAUUAGCUAGUUGGUGAGGUAAUGGCUCACCAAGGCGACGAUCCCUAGCUGGUCUGAGAGGAUGAUCAGCCACACUGGAACUGAGACACGGUCCAGACUCCUACGGGAGGCAGCAGUGGGGAAUAUUGCACAAUGGGCGCAAGCCUGAUGCAGCCAUGCCGCGUGUGUGAAGAAGGCCUUCGGGUUGUAAAGCACUUUCAGUCGUGAGGAAGGUGGUGUAGUUAAUAGCUGCAUUACUUGACGUUAGCGACAGAAGAAGCACCGGCUAACUCCGUGCCAGCAGCCGCGGUAAUACGGAGGGUGCGAGCGUUAAUCGGAAUUACUGGGCGUAAAGCGCAUGCAGGUGGUUUGUUAAGUCAGAUGUGAAAGCCCGGGGCUCAACCUCGGAAUAGCAUUUGAAACUGGCAGACUAGAGUACUGUAGAGGGGGGUAGAAUUUCAGGUGUAGCGGUGAAAUGCGUAGAGAUCUGAAGGAAUACCGGUGGCGAAGGCGGCCCCCUGGACAGAUACUGACACUCAGAUGCGAAAGCGUGGGGGAGCAAACAGGAUUAGAUACCCUGGUAGUCCUCGCCGUAAACGAUGUCUACUUGGAGGUUGUGGCCU